AGCUAGGGAAGGGGGCCUGUCUGAGCCAGCCCGGAGGUGAGGCGACGGUGGAAUGUGGCAUGCGCACCUGCUUGGCCCAGCCCAGGUCCGGAGGCUUCAGGCUGCAGGAGAGCGUUGCAGAAACUCCUCACUUUGCAGAAGAGAAAAGGGAAGGCCAAGGACAUGAUGACCUCACACUGGUUUGGCAACAGCACCUACAGGGGAAGACAACACCUGGUCCUUGGGCAAGAGCAGAAAAAGGAAUGAAAGGAAAGUUCCUGGUGUUUCAAGGGGUUUGUUGGAAGCUGCAGUGAUGGUCCCCUCCGUGCCCCUCCUGGGGAGUAAAGGAGUCCUGAUAGGUGGCUGGGAGCCUCCUGGACCCCCACAGUCAUAGGACUCUGUCCUCAGGCCUCUCCUGAGGGUGUGCCCCAGAGAAGCACCAGAAGGGGCUUCCUCUUAGCUGGGCCUCAGGGCUCUGGGGGCAUCGAGCUAAGGAGUCCCUUGUGCUCAGAGUGUGGCUUUUCUCAGCGUCCCUUGUGCUCAGAGUGUGGCUUUUCUCAGCGUCCCUUGUGCUCAGAGUGUGGCUGCCUUGGCCAUGGCCAAGGUGGGGGCACCCAAUUCACUCCUCACUCCACCAAGAUAUCAAGCCAGAGACUCAGAAGGAACACUUCCCUGGGUUUCCUGUGUCCUGAUUCUCUGAGUGACUAAUCAUCUCCAGAAGACUGAACAAUCUACCUCCAGGCUUGGAUUUGAACAAGAGGAAACCAGCUUCCCCUCUUAAGCCUCUGGGAACCCCAGCUGAGGUGGGUGUGGCCCUCCUAAGUUGCCCUCAUUGAGUGAAGAGUUUUUGCUCGACAUAAUCUCUUCAUUGUGGCCUUUUGCUCCUGAACAGGCUUCUGCAAGUAAGGCAAGUGAAGCUCUCAUUACAUUUGGCAUUGCUGCAAAGGCCAUGUUCUGCAGGUUUCCUCUGAGCACGAAUGAAUCCUUUUCUGGAAAUAGAAUCUAAAUAUCCUUUGAACAACAAUGGCUCCCUUCUCUCUGAGCAUGUGACCCAAGCAGAUCAAUGAGCAUAAUUUCAAUCUCUGGCUUCAAGGAUAAAUUUGUCCUAUGAGAGUAAACCCUGGUCCUUAUUCAGUUACCGGGCUGAGAUGUAUUCUUUUCUCCACAGCAUCUAAAUCCGAAAGACUUUGGAUGCUGGAACUGCUGACCACCAUCUUUAGCCACCAAAUGUAGCCCAAGAAUCAAGUCCACAUGAAGAAGAACAGAACUGAGGGGUGAAAUAUUGUUUGAUAUUUUAUGAGCUCCUGCAUCAAACCAUGCCUAAAACUCAACUUUCCUGCUGAACUUUUAAAUUACAUGAAUAAUUAAAUUCUUUUUGCCUAAAGC
rnacentral:lncRNA from 9 species